GCUUACACAUGCAAGUCGAACGAUGAACUCUCACUUGUGGGGGGGAUUAGUGGCGAACGGGUGAGUAACACGUGAGUAACCUGCCCUUAACUCUGGGAUAAGCCUGGGAAACUGGGUCUAAUACUGGAUAUUGACUUUACCUCGCAUGGGGUUUGGUUGAAAGCUUUUGUGGUUUUGGAUGGACUCGCGGCCUAUCAGCUUGUUGGUGAGGUAAUGGCUCACCAAGGCGACGACGGGUAGCCGGCCUGAGAGGGUGACCGGCCACACUGGGACUGAGACACGGCCCAGACUCCUACGGGAGGCAGCAGUGGGGAAUAUUGCACAAUGGGCGAAAGCCUGAUGCAGCGACGCCGCGUGAGGGAUGACGGCCUUCGGGUUGUAAACCUCUUUCAGUAGGGAACAAGGCUACACGUUGUGUGGUUGAGGGUACCUGCAGAAGAAGCGCCGGCUAACUACGUGCCAGCAGCCGCGGUAAUACGUAGGGCGCAAGCGGUUAUCCGGAAUUAUUGGGCGUAAAGAGCUCGUAGGCGGUUUGUCCCGUCUUGCC
rnacentral:rRNA from 1 species